rnacentral:rRNA from 1 species
AUGGAUUGGGACUGCCAUCUCCACUGCACUGAAGGAGAUCAAGCCCAUUUUCAUCAGCAUCAACUGGAACCUCCCCUAGGCCUGCAUCCUUGUCCAUUCUUUUUUCUCUCCCCGAGCAAACUUGUGCAACCUAUUGCCGCUCUGCCAUGGGUCACAUGGCCAUCCUUCAUACACCGCUUCACUAGGACUAACCCCGAAGUACAGAUGAUGAAAAUUCCAAAAGAAGUUGCCUCAUGUUUGGAUACCCCGAAGCACAGGCUGGCGAGACUAAGUUUGGGCAAAGAGAGCUUCAGGAGGACCGAAUAUGACACCUCACUCGACUGUCGCAUAUUCUUCAAGCAAGGAUGGAAGGAGGUCCUCACGAGACAUGACAUGAGGUUGACACUGUUGUACUAA